rnacentral:rRNA from 1 species
GACGAACGCUGGCGGCGUGCUUAACACAUGCAAGUCGAACGGAAAGGCCCUGCUUUUGUGGGGUGCUCGAGUGGCGCACGGGUGAGUAACACGUGAGUAACCUGCCCUUUACUUUGGGAUAACUUCAGGCAACCGCUGCUACCACCGGCUACCAGCUCCUGCUGCAUGGUGGGCGUUGGAACGUUUCGGUGGUGGGGGAUGGACUCGCGGCUUAUCAGCUUGUUGGUGGGGUAGUGGCUUACCCAGGCUUUGACGGGUAGCCGGCCUGAGAGGGUGACCGGGCACAUGGGGACUGAGAUACGGCCCAGAGUCGUACGGGAGGCAGCAGUGGGGAAUAUGGCACAAUGGGCGGAAGCGUGAUGCAGCAACGCCGCGUGCGGGAUGACGGCCUUCGGGUGGUAAACCGCUGUCGCCUGUGACGAAGCGGGAGUGACGGUAAUGGGUAAAGAAGCACCGGCUAACUACGUG